rnacentral:rRNA from 1 species
UACGGAGGGAGCUAGCGUUGUUCGGAAUUACUGGGCGUAAAGCGCACGUAGGCGGCUUUGUAAGUUAGAGGUGAAAGCCCGGGGCUCAACCCCUGAAUUGCCUUUAAGACUGCAUCGCUUGAAUCCAGGAGAGGUGAGUGGAAUUCCGAGUGUAGAGGUGAAAUUCGUAGAUAUUCGGAAGAACACCAGUGGCGAAGGCGGCUCACUGGACUGGUAUUGACGCUGAGGUGCGAAAGCGUGGGGAGCAAACAGG